GGGCCCGCACAAGCGGUGGAGCAUGUGGUUUAAUUCGAUGAUACGCGAGGAACCUUACCAGGGCUUAAAUGUAGGUUGCAUGAUCUAGAGAUAGAUCUUUCUUCGGACUACCUACAAGGUGCUGCAUGGUUGUCGUCAGCUCGUGCCGUGAGGUGUCAGGUUAAGUCCUAUAACGAGCGCAACCCCUGUCGUUAGUUACCAGCGAGUCAUGUCGGGAACUCUAACAAGACUGCCGGUGCAAACCGUGAGGAAGGUGGGGAUGACGUCAAAUCAUCACGGCCCUUACGUCCUGGGCUACACACGUGCUACAAUGGCCGGUACAGAGAGCAGCCACUACGCGAGUAGGAGCGAAUCUAUAAAACCGGUCUCAGUUCGGAUCGCAGUCUGCAACUCGACUGCGUGAAGCUGGAAUC
rnacentral:rRNA from 1 species